CCACAUCAUGUUAAAAUACCAGUUCCCAUACAAUCACCAAAGUUAAGCAACGUUGAGCCUGGUCAGUACCUAGAUGGGUGACCACUUGGAAAUACCAGGUGAUGUAAG